GAAACGACUGCUAAGACUGGAUAGGAAGAUAAAAGGCAUCUUGUAUCUUUUAAAAGACCUAGUUAAUAGGUAUGCUUUAGGAGGGGCUUGCGCCAUAUUAGUUAGUUGGUAGGGUAAUGGCCUACCAAGACGAUGAUGUGUAGCUGGACUGAGAGGUUGAACAGCCACAUUGGGACUGAGACACGGCCCAAACUCCUACGGGAGGCAGCAGUAGGGAAUUUUCGGCAAUGGAGGAAACUCUGACCGAGCAACGCCGCGUGAAUGACGAAGUACUUCGGUAUGUAAAGUUCUUUUAUCGAGGAAGAAAAGCAAAUGGCGAACCAUUUGUUUGCCGGUACUUGAUGAAUAAGCCCCGGCUAAUUAUGUGCCAGCAGCCGCGGUAAGACAUAAGGGGCAAGUGUUAUCCGGAAUUAUUGGGCGUAAAGGGUGCGUAGGCGGUCUAGUAAGUCAGUGGUGUAAUGGCAACGCUUAACGUUGUCCGGCUAUUGAAACUGCUAAACUUGAGUUAGAUAGAGGCGAGUGGAAUUCCAUGUGUAGCGGUAAAAUGCGUAAAUAUAUGGAGGAACACCAGAGGCGUAGGCGGCUCGCUGGGUCUUAACUGACGCUGAGGCACGAAAGCGUGGGGAGCAAACAGGAUUAGAUACCCUGGUAGUCCACGCCGUAAACGAUGAGUACUAAGUGUCGGGUUAAACCGGUACUGAAGUUAACACAUUAAGUACUCCGCCUGAGUAGUACGUACGCAAGUAUGAAACUUAAAGGAAUUGACGGGACUCCGCACAAGCGGUGGAUCAUGUUGUUUAAUUCGAAGAUACCCGAAAAACCUUACCAGGUCUUGACAUGUUUUUGCAAAAUGAUAGUAAUAUCGUGGAGGUUACCAGAAACACAGGUGGUGCAUGGUUGUCGUCAGCUCGUGUCGUGAGAUGUUAGGUUAAGUCCUAAAACGAGCGAAACCCUUAUCGUUAGUUGCCAGCACGUUAUGGUGGGGACUUUAACGAGACUGCCAAUGAUAAAUUGGAGGAAGGUGAGGAUCACGUCAAAUCAGCAUGCCCCUUAUGACCUGGGCUACAAACGUGAUACAAUGGCUGUUACAAAGGGUAGCUGAAACGCAAGUUCUUGGCCAAUCCCCAAAAACAGUCCCAGUCCGGAUUGAAGUCUGCAACUCGACUUCAUGAAGUUGGAAUCGCUAGUAAUCGCGAAUCAGCAUGUCACGGUGAAUACGUUCCCGGGGUUUGUACACACCGCCCGUCA
rnacentral:rRNA from 1 species